UACGGAGGGUGCGAGCGUUGUCCGGAAUCACUGGGCGUAAAGGGCGCGUAGGUGGCUACUCAAGCGCGCGGUGAAAGCCCGGGGCUCAACCCCGGGUCGGCCGUGCGGACUGGGAGGCUCGAGCACUGUAGGGGCGGGUGGAAUUCCGGGUGUAGCGGUGGAAUGCGUAGAGAUCCGGAAGAACACCGGUGGCGAAGGCGGCCUGCUGGGCAGUGGCUGACGCUGAGGCGCGACAGCGUGGGGAGCAAACAGG
rnacentral:rRNA from 1 species